rnacentral:tRNA from 1 species
GGACAGGUGGCUGAGUGGUUGAAGGCACCUGACUCGAAAUCAGGCGUGGUCGCAAGGCCACCGUGGGUUCGAAUCCCACCCUGUCCG